GCUGCGCAUCGUGGUAGAAGCCUGUAAUCCCAGCUACUCGGGAGCCUGAGGCAAGAGAAUCGCUUGAGCCUAGGAGUUGGAGGUUGCUAUGAGCUGUGUGAUGCCAUAGCACUCUACCAAGGGCAACAAAGUGAGACUUUGUCUCUAUCAAAAAAAAAAAAAAGAUUUAUAGAGUUUCAAGCUAUCGCCCUGGGUAGAGUGCUGUGGCACCAUAGCUCAUAGCAACCUCCAACUCUUGGGUUCAAGCAAUCCUCUUGC
rnacentral:sRNA from 1 species